rnacentral:rRNA from 1 species
CCCUUAGAUGUCCUGGGCUGCACGCGCACUACACUGAUGUGUCCAGUAAGCACCUAACCUCUUCCGAAAGGAACGGGUAACCUUUGCAAAGCACAUCGUGAUGGGGAUAGAUUAUUGCAAUUAUUAGUCUUGAACGAGGAAUUCCUAGUAAGCACAAGUCAUCAGCUUGUGUUGAUUACGUCCCUGCCCUUUGUACACACCGCCCGUCGCUCCUACCGAUUGAAUGUUCCGGUGAGCUCUUCGGACUGCGCGGUCUGCAGUUUCUGCGUUCCGUGCGGAAAGUUGCGCAAACCUUAACAUUUAGAGGAAGGAGAAGUCGUAACA